rnacentral:rRNA from 1 species
AUGACCAGAGACAAUCUGAGGAAAAGGCACAUCAUUAAACCCCUUGAUUGUGUCUUCUGCACUGAUAAAGAAACCAACUCUCACUUGUUUUUUGAUUGCAUUGUAGCAAAAAACAUCUGAUCAUUUGUGACUGACCACUUCCAGGUCCAGAUAGGAACAAGGUUUGGAUCUGUAGCCGAAUUCUGAAUCUCUAACAAGAAGAAUGUUGCUUUAAAUAUAGUUUCUUCAGCAGUCCUGUGGUGUUUGUGGAAGUAUAGGAACUCUAUCAUCUUUAACAACACCAUUUGGACUUCGAUUUCACAGGUGUGGAGACUAAUCCUCAGACCCCUCAAGUUUUGGGCGAUCUUGGCCCCAAAGGGUGGCAGGGCUCGUCUGGAGGUUUUCCUGACAGCGCUAACAGCCCUCUCGCAGCAACCACUGAGAAUAACGAGUGGCUGA